CUUGUGAAUUCCCCACUCCACUUCCCUCUGUCUGUUGGAUUAAUGAAAUGGACAGCAUUUUAUGGAUGAAUUAUCAGAUCCAGCAAUCUGGGAGCAAAGAGGGAGUGAAAAAAUAACAGAUUAGUCACUACCAGAACUGCUCUGUUCCUUGGCUUGUGCAGGACAUUGCCUCUCUCCCCUAAAGGUGAAGCUCACACCUCCUGGAGUCACAGCCCAAAGCAGAAGAUGGGUUUUGGGAGACCUUACUGAAUUUUGAGGAAUAAUCAUCUGGAGCACAGCACCUACACAUCCCUCCUGCCACCUGGGGCCAGAAUCAGAGAGCUCAGCCCCCAGAUGUGAAACACCUGCUGGGGCUGACCUUUUGCUGACAUCAGUUAAUGUCUCGCUGAUAUUGAAACACCAGGUGGUCAUUUGCAUCUGAAACGUCCGUGGUGAAUUUUACUCCUUUCUCUUCUCCCCUGUUGCCUGGCUGAGAGCAGCGCUGACAACUCCAGCCACUUGAAAAUCAGGGUUCAGGUCUAAAAAGCACAAGCAGAGUGGUUGGAAAAUCACGGUGCUUCCAAAAAUAGGGCAAAUGGAAGUUGUUGAGUUUGCUGUUCCAGGCCCAG